rnacentral:rRNA from 1 species
AUUGAACGCUGGCGGCGUGCCUAACACAUGCAAGUCGAGCGGUAACAGGUGUAGCAAUACAUGCUGACGAGCGGCGGACGGGUGAGUAACGCUUGGGAAUCUGCCUGUUAGUGGGGGACAACCCGGGGAAACGUCGGGCUAAUACCGCAUACGCACUACGGUGGAAAGCCGGGGACCGCAAGGCCUGGCGCUAACAGAUGAGCCCAAGUCGGAUUAGCUAGUUGGUAGGGUAAUGGCCUACCAAGGCGACGAUCGGUAGCUGGUCUGAGAGGAC